rnacentral:miRNA from 1 species
AUUGAGACGAGCCGAAUCAAU